UUAUCUGGGUCCCUUUUAAGUUUCAAUGACUUGGCAGCUACGGCCCCGACCCGCACCGCGCAGCCACCGGCGGCCAGCGGGACGCGCGCUUCCCGGCACUUUGCGCCCAGCGCGCAGGCGCGAAGGGAAGCUGGGGGGGGGGGGGGAGACAGUCCAGGGCGCCUGCGCAGUGAGCUCCGCCGCUGCUGCUUGCAGAGGUGCGGGCCCGGCGCGCAUGGGCCUCUCUUGUGUGUGCCAAGCUUCUCCCACUCUGCAAAAAUUCCCCCUUCAUUUCUUCAGAUUUUCCCCGGGUUCUUCAAAGGUGGUCUGGGACCUGCGGACUCCAGGUCUUCCCGGGGUCUCUGGGGUUACUCCGUGCGGACAGAGCCCAGGGUGGGUGACAGCCCUCACACCCUCUCCUGCUGUCACUACUCCAGGCACUGUGCCGCCCCUCUGAGGAUGCGCGAAGCUGUGCUGUGACAGUUUCAGCGCCGCAGUUUCUUCAGAAUCCAGCAGCCACUUCCCCCAGAUGUCCCGCUACAGCUCCGACUGUCCUGGACACACCCUGGUGUCCGGGAGACACCUCGCAGGGCUACAGUGGUUUUCUCUUUUGCAGACAGGGUCUCACUCUGCAGCUCAGGCUUGAACUCAGGUUGUGGCCCAGGCUGGUCUCGACCUCAUAAUGAUCCUCCUGCCUCAGUCUCCCCAGUGCUAGGAUUACACUUAUGGCUAGUGCCUAUUCUAAAUCCCGGAUCACUCCGCCUGUGCCAGCUGGACCGACUCCGCCUACAAGCCCAGAUGACUCUGCUCCUCCCUCUGCCCUUACUCUGAAAAUGUUCAAGCAGUCACCAAACGUGCGGAACUGCGGACCUGGCCCCUCAUGUUCCUUGGGCUCACAGGAGAGGGUUCCUUUGUGCACUGGACCCCGUGCUGCAGUGCAGGUCUCAAGAAAGCCUCGCGGGUCCUCCUGUAAGUCUCCUCCUAACUGUUAUCUCAGGCAGUGUGGGCACAGCAGGCCGCACUGAAGAGCUGUAGCAGCAGGGCUGCUAGCCUUAAAGGGUCAGGAAGACCAGCAGCAGCCACCCUCAAUGACCCAGCAUCAACUAGUAGCCACCAGAGGCGGCAGCCAGCGGCCAGGUUUAGCGGAGACCUGCAGAGAAUCCCUGAGAGGCAGCACAAGCUGCUGAAGCAGGCUGUGUGCUGCCAGAGGAGCUGCCAGGAGCUGCAGGCAAGGCCCAAGGCCCCCUGGCACUCAGAUCCCAGCGCUGCUGACCCCUGUGCUUUGCCCAUUUGUGGUUUCCAUCUGAGCUGAGCAAAUGCACCCUCACUACCCCUGCCUCAAAUGAUCCUCCUGCCUCAGCCUGCUCAGCUUCUGGAACUACAGGAACAGUGGAGGUGUUUGCACCUUUGUCAAAGAGAAGGUGGCUGAGUGUAUCUGUGGUUAUUUCUGCAUCUUCUAAUCUGUUCCAUUGAUCCUCAGCUUUUUGGAAGGAGAGUUAAAUGAGGUCGUAAGUAUGAAGUGUUAAUCCUACAGACAAGGAGCCAUGCCCGCCUCUGUCUGUGCACACAGAACGGAGAGGGGCCCAGUGAGGACACAGAGGGAAGGCAGCCACCUGCAGACAGAAAGAAGGUGAUUGCCCCGAGGCCACUGUACUGUCCCCGAGACCGGUGGAUUAGGGCCCUGAAUCUUUUUAUUUCCCCAGCACCUGCGCCGUGGGCCCAGUCACUCCCCUGUCCCAGCCCUUGACUCACGUAUAUCUUAUUCCCACUGAACCCCCCAACUCACCUACCUUUGGGCUGAACCCACCGCAGCUGUGAGCCAAAUCAUCCUCUGCUCCUUUACGUUGUGGACAUCCGGUGUUGUGUCCACUCGGGAGACCUCAACUCUGGCUCGCUUUUCCAAGAGAGAAACACACUGCACACCCGCAGUUCCCCUUCGGAGCCGUCCUUGAAGGAAAUGACUUCGGGAAGAUUUCUGGAGCUUUCCAGAAUUUAUGGAAUUCCUUCUCCAAAGACAGAGGCAGAUUUUUGUACAGCUCCACGUGGAAGAAGCAGAUCUUGCAGCUGCUUCUUGAGCAGCCGCUGAGCCAAGCAUGUUUCACUUUGCUCAAUCCCGGCUGUAAGGCUGGCUCCGGGACAGGGACCCGAAAGCCAGACGCCUUCCCUUGGUGGAGGAGCCUCCUCCAGCCAGCCAGGGGGGCAGCAGGCUCCUGGUCUGAUAACGGCCUGGCUGGAUUUCCUCUCCUGUUUGUCCUUUUGCAUUUAGUUAAAGUAAACUCUGUGCCCUUAGUUUGAAAAAGCCCUUCAAGGCAUGGCGUCAGAAAAGCCAGCCAACUUCUAUGUGGCAGAGAAGCAGUUCGGAUUUUGCUUUUACAUCUUGAAGCUAAAAUUUAAGUGUGUCUGACUCUGAGACCCGUCUCCCCGAUGAGGUUUAUGGCUGUUGAGGAAGUUCUUCUUUGGGCUUCCUAGAAUCUUUGUUGUCUGUCUGUGUAAAAAAAGCAAAAAUAACAAUGAUGCCAGCGUAGAAAGUUUGCUUCUCAUUAAAGUAGCAAAGCUGGGCCUCAGCAGGCUUAGCAGGAGCCCAUCUGUGCAGAGAAGGGGGUUUAUCCAAAGUUGGGUUUGGCCAGAAAUCUUUUUGUCACUUCCAAAA